AACUCUGGCCACCGGAAUUUUCGCUCCACCCUCCAUUAAAAAACUUACCAAAAUGCAAUCCUUGUGUUGAUUUGCAAAUUCCCUGGAACCACCAAUUUUUUAAACCCAGUUGCCGCCGGAGCCCAUCGGGUUAAGGCAAGGCCGGCCUGGCCUUCACCC
rnacentral:rRNA from 1 species